AUUUCUUUCUUUCAUCUCUAUCCUAGUUUGUAUUUAAUUUCUUUGGUUUUCUUGGUUAUCAUUACUGAAUGUUAUUUUUAUUUUGUUUUGGGUACUGAUUGCUCAACUUGCAUUGAAAUUGAAACUAAGAGGUAAGAGAUUUGGUUGCUCAACUCACAUGGAAACUAAGAGAGAAAAAGAAGGGGCAAAAACUCAAAUAAAGUAAGAAACAUCAUAACACGAGUCAGAAGUUUUGAAGAAUUUGAUGGAGAAGAUGGAAGCAAAGUCAUGUUUAUAUUGGAAAACAAGUGUCCUGUAAUCGCAGUGAUGAAACAAACCAAACAUUUGGAUACAUUAGAUAAGGGUGAGAUUUACAUUUUAAGAGAAUUUGAAGAAGAAGAUGAAGAAGACUUCACGCAUACAAAAAGGAAGUAUACUCUGUGAAAAAAUGGUAUACAGAUGUCAAUUUCGGACAAACAAAAGUUAUUUAAGAAAUGGUAUACACAUUAACAUCUGUUAGUCUUGGUGGUCUUUAAGAAAGUCAUUUUGUAUAUUAACUUCUUAAGCACUUAUGAACAACCCAAUAAAAUACGUCGUUCAAUGCCAA